rnacentral:lncRNA from 1 species
UUGUUAUGGCGGUCGACAGCUGACCACAAGGUCGGGGAUCCUAUCCCGGUCGCGGCGGAUGCUUUUGCGAAGGAGGCGAGAAUGUUUGAGGCCCGUGUACCUAGAUAUAGGUGCACGUUAAAGAACCCCAUGUGCUCGAAAUUUCCGGAGCCCUCCACUACGGCGUCUCUCAUAAUCAUAUCGUGGU